rnacentral:tRNA from 1 species
GCCUGGGUGGUUCAAUGAGUGGAGCGUCUGACUUCAGCUCAGGUCAUGAUCUCACAGCUCGUGGGUUCAAGCCCCACGUUGGGCU